GUCCUUUUUUUUUUUUGGGGAAAAAUACAAAGAUACUGCAUUUAAAAGGCUUGAAGGCCAUCAGCGUACAACAAAACCAACGCCUUAUAAGGCAUGGCACUCGGCCAAGGUAAUUGGAGUUUAUAUCACAUAUGCACCUUAGCGAAACAAUCUGCAACUCUGUUUGCUGUUCUCCUAACUCGAGAGAAAGGUGUUUGAACAAUAGCUGUGCCUAGAGCUCUACUAGAGAAAAUCACAGCUUUCAUGGUGACUGAGGACACUCUCAUAGCUAUAGCUAAUAUGUGAGCCUCCAACAUUGCUAUUGCCUCACCUGUCAAAGGCGCAGCGCAACGUGCUUUUUUCACAGCGCCAUCUACUACUUCUCUAAAGUUUCUGGCCACUAUUGCUAUAGAAUGAACGGACAUUUAUAUAUAGCUCCCGUGCCAAGUUCCAUGGGAAACUUUUGGGUGUUUGAUUCCUCCAUGCAAAAUGCUUGCCCUGGGUCCAUCAUGUGUAAAACAAUUGUCUUCCUGUGAAGGGCCGGCUCUUGCCUGGUACACAAGUAAUUUAAGUACAGGGAUGAUGCUCGUUUCCAAUGAAUGGGAAGCAUAGCUUAUGCUAUUUUGCUGGCCAUCGAUUGUCCUGGUGCUCCCUUUCAAUAAAUGGGAAGAUGAUGAAAUGCCCCAUUCAAGAAGUUAAAUGGUGUUUGGUUGUCAACUGAAGAUUUAAUAUUUAAUCAGUCCGUUUAUAUUAGAGAUGGCAACGAAUCAGAUUUUUGCGGGUACCCGAUCCGAUCGAAUCCUAAUAAGACGAGUUUAGAUAGUAUAUAAUCUAGUUUGGAACGGGUUUGGGUUUAAAAUUUAAUACCCGUGACGGGUUUGGGUUGGGUUCAGGUUUUAUAUGUUG
rnacentral:misc_RNA from 1 species